rnacentral:misc_RNA from 1 species
GAUGAAGAACGUAGUGAAAUGCGAUAAGUAAUGUGAAUUGCAGAAUUCAGUGAAUCAUCGAAUCUUUGAACGCACAUUGCGCCCGUCAGUAUUCUGGCGGACAUGCCUGUUCGAGCGUCAUUACGCCCCUCAAGUCCCCUGUGGACUUGGUGUUGGGGAUCGGCGAGGCUGGUUUUCCAGCACAGCCGUCCCUUAAAUUAAUUGGCGGUCUCGCCGUGGCCCUCCUCUGCGCAGUAGUAAAACACUCGCAACAGGAGCCCGGCGCGGUCCACUGCCGUAAAACCCCCCAACUUUUUAUAGUUGACCUCGAAUCAGGUAGGACUACCCGCUGAACUUAAGCAUAUCAAUAAGCGGAGGA